GACGAACGCUGGCGGCGUGCUUAACACAUGCAAGUCGAACGAUGAACCGGGUGCUUGCACUUGGGGAUUAGUGGCGAACGGGUGAGUAACACGUGAGUAACCUGCCCUGGACUCUGGGAUAACCCCGAGAAAUCGGAGCUAAUACCGGAUAGGACCUUUCCUAGCAUGAGGUUGGGUGGAAAGUUUUUCGGUCUGGGAUGGACUCGCGGCCUAUCAGCUUGUUGGUGAGGUAAUGGCUCACCAAGGCGUCGACGGGUAGCCGGCCUGAGAGGGUGACCGGCCACACUGGGACUGAGACACGGCCCAGACUCCUACGGGAGGCAGCAGUGGGGAAUAUUGCACAAUGGGCGCAAGCCUGAUGCAGCAACGCCGCGUGCGGGAUGACGGCCUUCGGGUUGUAAACCGCUUUUAGUAGGGAAGAAGGGCUUCGGCUUGACGGUACCUGCAGAAAAAGGACCGGCUAACUACGUGCCAGCCGCCGCGGUAAGAC
rnacentral:rRNA from 1 species